CGUCGACCAUGGAACGACCCCUUCCGGAAUAUCGCCGUCAACCUCCCUACUGCCUCCGCGGGGAGGGUCUCCGUCAACGUCGCUGCCACUGCCGUCACUCGACCGCCGUAGCAUCCUUCUUUGAGUACCACCCCGUUCCAUCCAGGGAACUCUUUCCUGAAGCGCAUUACUUUGGUUCGCUCUGUCCAGAAUAAUGCACUGAAAAUGAAAAUAAUGCAGGGAAGGCGUCAUGAAAAUAAUGUUUGUUCAGUCCAAAUGUUACGUACCAUUCUAUUUCCUUAUGAUUUUAUUCUCUUACAGUUUGCUCUCUAUCCAGUAGCAGUUGCGUUGCAAGUACAAUUCACAUCAUCAGUGCAACAGAGAGGUUAAAGAUGAGGUUGAGGUUAUCACUUGGCGUCAAGAAAUUGUAUAAUAUUCCUCCAAAUGAAGUGCUCAUGAUUAGGAGCAAAAUUCAAGAUCCGGGAUCCACGUGAGAUGCAAGAGCCUUUGCUCUAUUCAAGGAUUUAGGAAGCAUUGACCAGCUGCAUGGCAAGUACAACGAGCAUUAUCAGUACAACAAGGAGAUUCAAUCAAGGCAAGAAAUUCUACCAUAUUGUUCUGAAUGAAGAGGUAACUUUCCCUACUAUUACAUUAUCAAAUUAUUGCAUAAUGCUUUGGUUUCUACUAUUAUGGAGAUGAUCAAGGAUCUGUCGAGUAUUCUUGCAAAUCUGAAUGGAUAGACUUAACUCCCUAUUAUUUUCUUAUUAUAUAGCUUUGUGGUUAUGCAUCCUUGAGGAGUUGCACUUAAUUCUAUUCACAUUGGUAUUGUGUUCUGAAGUUGACUUGCAAGAAGUCUCUAAUAAAUUAUUUAC